ACCAUAUUAAACUCAUUGUUCCGAAGUCCGUUCCGUAAUCAUCAUGAUGCCCUGUGGUUAAGGUCUGGUUAGGUUUAGGCACAAAAACCACUUGGUUAGGGUCAGGAAAAGAUCAUGGUGUGGGUUAAAAUGAAAAAGAAAGUGACAAACACAUAAGCCGUGAGCCUGCUCCGCCUCAAGCCGGUCGCAGUGCACCAUACGCCCGCCGCGAGCCGUUCAGCACCGCAGGCAGUCGGACUAAUGGGAUGUCGAACCAAUGACAUGGACCCUUAUUUAUACAAUUAACUGUAUGACAGAUAACCUCAAACAUCAAGUUUAACAUGACUCAAAGAGUUGUGAUUGUCAAAAUAGUCUUUCUAUUCAAAGGCCAAUAUCUGCCCCAUAUAAAGUCCAGUCAGCCCAGUUGCCAGAAGAAAAUGUUGGCAUUGUGUGUUUCUUCAAACAAUGAAUACGUUACAUUUCCACAUUUCAUACGUGUCAUAUCGUUUCUAAAGUGAGUUAAUAUACUAGCCAACUGUCACGUGGAGGAGGAAGAGAUGGUGGAUGGGCAUCACCUAGACGAGAUACCUGUCAGGCUGUGGACCACUGUUCAAGACUGACAAAAAACAAAACUGGCUAUUUUUUAGCCAGUCAUUGCUGUAUUUCCAGCUGCAUUUUGGGCACCAACUGUGGGUGUUUUUUAGGAACCUGUCUUUGUUUCCUGUGGCUUUUCAGCCCUGAAACACUGGGCUGUUUUGCAACCCAUUGCUAUGUUUCCUGCGGCUUUUCAGCCCCCACAUGUGGGUGUUUUUUGGAGACCAAUCCAUGUGUUUCCUGAGGCUUUUUAGCCCUGAAAUGUGGUUGUUUUUUGGAGAUCUGUAGCUGCGUUUUAAGCGGCUUUUCAGCCCUAAAAUGUGGAUGUUUUGUAGAGACCAUUGAUGUGUUUCCAGCAGCUUUCCAGUCCCCAGACGAGGGUGUUUGGUAGGGAGCUGUUGCCAUGUUUCCUGAAGCUUUUCAGCCCUCAAACAUGCCUGUUCUGAAAGGACCUGUCUGUGUUUUCUGAGGCUUUUCAACCUUAAAAUAUAGGUGUUUUGUAGAGACCUUUUGUUGUGUUUCCAGCAGCGUUUCAGCCCCCAAAUGUGGUUUUCUUUUUAAGGGACCCAUUGCUGUGUUUCAGGCACCUUUGAGUCCCCAAACAAGGGUGUUUGGUAGGGACUGUUUCCUUAAGCUUUUCAACCCUCAAACAUGACUGUUUUGAAGGGACCUGUCGACAUGUCUCCUGCAGCUUUUCAGCUACAAAGUUUGGGAAUUUUUGGAGACCAGUCCAUGUGUUUCCUGAGGGUUUUUAAAGCUCUAAAAAUAUGGGUGGUUUGUAGGGACUUAUUGCUGUGUUUCCUGCUGCUUUUCAGCCACCAAAACUGGGUGAUUUUAAGGACUUGUCACUGUGUUUCAUACAGCAUCCCCAAACAUGGGAGUUUUGGCAACCUGACCCAUUUUUUUCCAGUGGGGAUAGUGCCACGAACAGCAGUUGUUUUUUUACAGAGGCAUCGCUGCGUUUCCAGUGGGGAUUGUGUCCCCAAGACCGGAUAUUUUAAGCCCAAACAUGAUCUUUUCCUGUACAUAACCAAGUGGUUUUUGUUUCUAAACUUUACCACAAGUUUACCACAGCGCUAUUGAAACAUAAAGUUUCAACAUAUCCGCUACAUAAUAAUGUGCAAGUGUAACGUAAAUCUGUGGUUUGCAGAAACGUGCAAUGCCAACAUUUUUUUCUAACAGUUUCUAACGGUUUAUCCAGUUUAUCGGUGUCAGAGCUCCAGUUUAAAGCUGAAGUCUCGAGGGUCAGUUGGUCACUCCAUGCAGUGCAAAGUGGAACAUAUGUUUUAGGCAAGACAGAAGAACAUCUAAACUAUUAGGACUAGUCUAGAUGUAAUUCAGUGUUGGUUGUAAUAUCCUACAUUUCCACCCCAUCUCUUGGGUGCUUAUCAGUAAAAGCCUCAUUGCUCUAUGUCUGAUAAUGUUUUAAUGCUUUGUAUGACAAAGUGCUAUCUUUGUGCUGUGAUUUUAAAGUCAUUAAUAUUUUCAAUCAGUGUGUGACUGGGGUUGGGUGUGUGUGCUUGCUUGCUUGCUUGCAUGGUUUUGGGUAUCGAUGUGGGUGUGUUUGUUACUGCACUUUAACCUUGCUUUUCUACACCUGUCUUUUGAACUCUUGGUUUAUUUUUACAUUGUGCUACUGAGCUUUGGGACAACAACACUCCUAAAUGAAGGCAGCUGUAAAAAGAAAUCCCACAUGCAUACAUUCCCACCUGCAUGUACUGACAAGUAUUGUGUAACCACACGUUCCUCAUACUAAUGCAUGUACAGUAAGAAUUAGUCACUGCUCUGCACCACAGCCAGUGGCGCUCGAUGAAAUACACUGUUCUGCUCGGUGUGACUUUUUUGAAUGUUGUCAUAAAAAAAUCCACUUCAUUCCAGAGGAGUUAACAUGUCUGUGUGGGCUCUAGGGAGGAUCUUUUUUUCUUCCAUAUUCCUGUUUAUCUGUUACUGUAAAUGAGAGAUGUUUAUGUUAUUUACUUUCCUUACUAUAGAAAAAGUAUCAAAACCUAAAUCUUGGAAUAGCAAAUGAUUGUCUGUGAGGUGAAAGCUAAGAGUUACAAUGUUACUCAUAUAGAUGCAGAAUGUUUUCUUUUUUACGUAUUUUAAAGUUUGCACACAGGAGAGUCAUCAACUGAUACUAAAAGCAGGCAUUUAGAGCAUAUUUUAAUAUAAAAAUAGACUUAUAUAAAACUCUGAGACCUCAUGGCCUGACGUCUUAACGAUGCUAUUCUUAAUCUAAAUUAGAUCUCUACAGAACCUUCACAACGAUUGGUUCUUGAUAAACAGUAACCACAUGUAAUCAUUUGGUCCUGAGUGUGAAUCCUUCAAUAUGUUCCCAUAAUGAUCUGAACUAUUAAACAGAUACAAAGGCAGGAAAAGCUUCAUGCCUCUUUUACGGUCUUUGAGCUUUGCUGGUGUAAGAUGGAAGAUGGUCCUGAUAUUUUGUACAAAGUUUAUAUUGUUUCAUUGAAAAGGAGCUAUUCAGAAUAUUUUGUUUACUAUAGAGUGACCUGGGAACGAUGGUUAUCACUAUUACUGGCAGCUUUAGUUGAGAGCGCUCAAGUAUGCCAUCAAUAGAGGAAAUCAUUUUAAUGGGUGAGUGCAAGUUACCACACGUCAGAGAUAAUUAUUUUCUGAUAUAGUGCCUUUUGAAGCAAAUGAUUUUCUAAGAAUUCUGAUUAUAGUAAGCGUUACGACUUGGAUUGUUCAUCUUUUACGGUCUUAUUUGACUUCUUUUACUACUUUGUCUUCAACGAUACUUAUUAUUAGCACUGGAUGUGUUCUCUGUUGACUAAUUGCCAUGCAUUUGAUCAUAGAAAAUGCACUAUUUGCAACAUAUCAGCAAAUUAUUAAUAUGUAAAGUGUCACCCAUGUCAAUGAUAUCAGUAGAUCAUUAAAACAAUAUAAACAAA